rnacentral:rRNA from 1 species
GUGGGGAAUUUUGGACAAUGGGCGCAAGCCUGAUCCAGCAAUGCCGCGUGCAGGAAGAAGGCCUUCGGGUUGUAAACUGCUUUUGUACGGAACGAAACGGUCCGGGUUAAUACCCUGGGCUAAUGACGGUACCGUAAGAAUAAGCACCGGCUAACUACGUGCCAGCAGCCGCGGUAAUACGUAGGGUGCAAGCGUUAAUCGGAAUUACUGGGCGUAAAGCGUGCGCAGGCGGUUUUGUAAGACAGGCGUGAAAUCCCCGGGCUCAACCUGGGAAUUGCGCUUGUGACUGAAAGGCUGGAGUGCGGCAGAGGGGGAUGGAAUUCCGCGUGUAGCAGUGAAAUGCGUAGAUAUGCGGAGGAACACCGAUGGCGAAGGCAAUCCCCUGGGCCUGCAAUGACGCUCAUGCACGAAAGCGUGGGGAGCAAACAGGAUUAGAAACCCGAGUAGUCC